UUGGAGGGCAAGUCUGGUGCCAGCAGCCGCGGUAAUUCCAGCUCCAAUAGCGUAUAUUAAAGUUGUUGCAGUUAAAAAGCUCGUAGUUGAAUUUCGGGGUCAGUAGGUUGGUCAUGCCACUGGUAUGUACUGGUCUCACUGAUUCCUCCUUCCUGAUGAGCCGUAAUGCCAUUAAUUUGGUGUUGCGAGGAAUCUGGACUGUUACUUUGAAAAAAUUAGAGUGUUUAAAGCAAGCUUACGCUUGAAUACAUUAGCAUGGAAUAAUGAAAUAGGACAUCAGAUUCUAUUUUGUUGGUUUCUAGGAUCGACGUAAUGAUUAAUAGGGAUAGUUGGGGGCAUUAGUAUUCAAUUGUCAGAGGUGAAAUUCUUGGAUUUAUUGAAGACUAACUACUGCGAAAGCAUUUGCCAAGGAUGUUUUCAUUAAUCAAGAACGAAAGUUAGGGGAUCGAAGACGAUCAGAUACCGUCGUAGUCUUAACCAUAAACUAUGCCGACUAGGGAUCGGAUGAUGUUAAUUUUUUAAUGACUCAUUCGGCACCUUACGGGAAAC
rnacentral:rRNA from 1 species